CCUCAUCACUGCUACAAAUUUCCUUUCCUUUUUCUUUGUUUUUAUCCUCCAUCAUAAUGCUCAUGAAAGCCCAAAAUUCCUCCCUGAAAGAAUUAAGUUCCAAGGAAGUUUUCUUUGCCUCCUCCUUCAUUCCUCGAGUCUCCUCUGGGAGAUCUCUCAUGUUCUCCUCUAGCUCAGCAAUCUUGACCAUCUCAGAACUCACCACUACAGAUCUAGUCAUAUUUCCAACUCACAAGAACCAACAAUUGAAUCAAUCCCAC
rnacentral:misc_RNA from 1 species